UCUUACGGCCGUACCACCUGGAGUAUGCCUGAUCUCAUCUGAUCUCGGAAGAUUAAUAGGGUCAGUCCUAGUUAGUGCUUGAAUGAGAGACUGCCUGGGAAUACCAGGUGUUCUAAGCU
rnacentral:rRNA from 1 species